rnacentral:rRNA from 1 species
UACGAAGGGGGCUAGCGUUGUUCGGAAUUACUGGGCGUAAAGCGCGCGCAGGUGGUCUUUCAAGUCAGUGGUGAAAGCCCGGAGCUCAACUCCGGAAAUGCCAUUGAAACUGUGAGACUUGAGGACGAGAGAGGUGAGUGGAAUUCCCAGUGUAGAGGUGAAAUCGUAGAUAUUGGGAAGAACACCGGUGGCGAAGGCGGCUCACUGGCUCGGUAUCUGACGCUCAGGCGCGACAGCGUGGGGAGCGAACAGG